UACGUAGGUGACCAGCGUUGUCCGGAUUUACUGGGCGUAAAGAGCGCGCAGGCGGUCGUUCAAGUCGAGUGUGAAAGCCCCCGGCUCAACUGGGGAGGGUCACUCGAUACUGAUCGACUUGAAGGCAGGAGAGGGAAGUGGAAUUCCCGGUGUAGUGGUGAAAUGCGUAGAUAUCGGGAGGAACACCAGUGGCGAAGGCGGCUUCCUGGCCUGUUCUUGACGCUGAGGCGCGAAAGCUAGGGGAGCAAACGGG
rnacentral:rRNA from 1 species